GGAUUUAUGUGUUGCAUUAUGGCUUGGUGAACAGAGAACUCAAGAGGCUGGGACUUCCAUUCUACUUUCACAAUGACGUGGUGUAUGAGCUGCAACAGGUCACUGAGUAUUUUAUCUUUAAGUCUUUGUAUAUCCUAUAGUGCAUGUGAGGGUGAUUUGGCUCAAUUUUGUCACCCCUGGACCACCAAAGUUCGUUUGGCCGAUUGACUUACUUGGCCGAUAAGAAAUUUCAGGGCCGGGAAUUGACCCUGUCCUACAGUAUGACAAUGCUGGAUCCUUAACCCAUUGCACCACAAGGGAACUCCAAGAUGGACGAAGAUGAGCGGUGAGCUGUGCUGGCAAAAGAAGACCUCAAAUGCAAAUCCUGCAUAGAUGUUCUAGGACCCUGCUUUAGGAUGUGGGGAUACUGGCAGUAUGUAAAACCUUGGCCAAGCCUGAGAUAGGAAGAGUCCUACUUAACACCUUGCUGUUUCACAUAAAAUUGCAAAAAGACCCCAGUGGUGGAUGAGAUAAGAAAACACACCAACAUAUUAAUAGAGACUAUCUUUUAAUACUUCUUUUAUUUUUCCCUUUUUAGCCAUCCCUUGGCAUAUGGAGUUCCCAGGCCAGGGAUCAGAUCUGAGCCACAGUUGUGACCUAUGCUGCAGCUAUGACCUAUGCCACAGCUGCAGCAAUGCCAGAUCCUUUAACCCUCUGCACUGGGCUGGGGAUUAAACCUGUGUCCCAGCGCUCCAUAAAUACCACCAAACCCACCGUGCCACAGCAGAAACUCUGGGACUAUCUUUGAAUGAUAGAAUCAUUGGUGAUUUUUCUUGCAUUACAACUUUAAUAUUUUAUAAAAUGGAUUCAUUCAUUCAUGUAUAAAAAUAUUUUAAAAAAUAAGGCCAAAAGAAUCCUACCAAUUGUCAAGAUCUAACUCAAAUGCCAUCUCUUUCAUGAUGCCUUUUCAGAUUACCCAGCUAGAAAUACUUUUUUUUCUUUCUUCUUUAACAAUAAUUACAGUUAUUAUAACAUUAUUUAAUCUUUACAGUCACCCCAUUAACUAAGUCUUUUGCUCUUCCUGUUUUACAGAUGAGGAAACUAAGCUUAGAAAAGUAAAACGUUGCAUAACUCACCUAAUACUACAAGCUGGUAAAUGACAGAGCUGUUACUCAAACCAUCUCUUCAGUUUAUUUCUAAUCUCCCACUGUGCUGGCCACUGGGCACCUGGAACUUAAUCAUGUUUUAGGUGAAAUUAAACAUUAGUAAGACAUAUUUCCUUCAUUUGCAUAGUUUUCCCCAACUAAAUUAUAAACAACUUUUAGAGAAUUAGACUAUCAAGCUUCCUUUAAAUAGCUUUAUGAAGGGCCACAAGGUAGGUAGCUUGUUGAAAUAGUGCUCAGGUGAAAUAAGAUGGUAGACACAUAAGUUAAAUAUAAACAUUAACUAAAUCAUAGUUUCUACCAUCAUAACUACUCAACAUUAUUUUGUAAUGCAAUAUCAUAAAUCAUUAAGAUUAUCUGGCAUGUAGAUGCUGACAUGAAGAUACAUACUUAAAUAGAUGAUCUCCUGCCUAAAUUUUAGUGUCAUCUGUAUUCAAGCAAAAGGAGGGGCAAUUAAUUCAUACUACGAAGAAAGAUGUUGUUAGAUAUACUGAACUGAUUUUAAGACAAAAUUAUCAUGUGAAUUCAGCCAGUCCAUUGCGGCAAACUGUCUUAAAUGCACACUCAACAGUAAUGACAGAGCCUAUGAUGGUUGAAAAAAGGAAAAGUAAUAGCUAGGGAGGCACAGGCCCUGGCGGUGGGGGGGUGGGGGUGGGGGUGUCCAUGCCAGAUCCUUAAGUUUGGGGAAACAAGGGCAAGUGAGUCCUCAUUUGGUGAAGGAGAUGAGGCUCCCUGGAUGUGGCCAGGCUUGGUCAUAGUGGCUCAACAACUGGCAGAAUAGAGUGAAGAGGCUGGAAUUUUUCAAUCCUAUAAGUAUGUGGGGCUGGUACAGACAGUAACUGGUACGUGUGCCAUGGAAAAGUCCUUCGUUUCUAUUACUGUGGCCAAAAUGGUUAUCUCGAGUCUUUUGGAAUACCAGUAAGAACAGUCAAUGGUAAAACUCAAAGAGGGAGAUUUUGCACCAAUGAUGCUCAAAAAUGUCAUCCAUGGACAAACAUCAGUAUUAGCUGGGAGCUUACUGGAGAUGAAAAUUCUUGGUCCCUAACCCAGACCUAAUGAAUCAGAAUCUAUGGAGUUGGGACCCAAGAAUUCACAUUUUUAACCUGCUCCCUGGGGGAUUCUUUGCAUGUUAAAAUUUGAGAGGCACUUUACAACAACCCCACCACAUUCACCACCCUCACAACAGAAGAAGCCUCUUCAAGAAUCCAUUUAAGAUGAAAGUUCCUAACUUUGUGUUGUCCAAGGCAGUGGACACUUGCUAUAUGUGGCAAGUGAGCACUUGAAAUGUGCUUAUUUAUCCGAAUAAAGAUGUAUUGUAAGCGUAAACCCUGGAUUUCAAAGACUGAAAUACAUACUAUGUAUUUCAUGUAUUAAGUACAAAGAAAGAAUGAGAAAUACAUCAUUAAUAAUUUUUAUAUUGACCAAAUAUUGAAAUGAAAUACUUAGAUAUAUUGAAUUAAAUAAAAUGUAUUAUUAAUUUCACCUGUAUCUUUUACUUUAUUGGGGUUACUAGGACAUUUAAGCUUACAGAUGUGGCUUGUAUUAUAUUUCUGUACCCCAACAUUGUUCUAACGUAUCUCCUUAAAGGAUGAUUUCUUUCCUAGUCUACAUUUUCUAGUUAUAAACUACCCAGGGCUCUUUUGAAACAAUAACACAAAACAGCAAAAACAGCAAUUGUUUCAUGUUUAAUGUGUGCCAGACCUUGUACUCAGCAUCUUGCACAGAUUAUUUCAUUUAAUCCAUACCAUAACUUUAUGAAAUUAUUACCCCCAGUUUAAUGAGUAGGAAACAGAAGCUGAGAGAGUUUAAAUAACUUGCUCAAGGCUGCCAGGUGAUAUAUGACCAAGCCAGAACUCAGGCUAGAUCCAUCUGACCCCAAAUCACCUACUUUUAUAGAUUUCCCUGUACUUCCUAUUAUAUAAUGUACUGGAAAAAGGGUCAUUUAUUUUUCAGUGAUAUCUAUGUACAUUAAGAUGAUGAGUAUAUUAAGUCUAAAUCAAGUAGAAGGAAAUCAUGAGAAAAUAUAAUGACAGAAUCAUCUCCAUGUGUGAUGUGUGAAUCCAGAGUUGUUCAAGAUUCAGGAAACUGGACAUGAUCUUCCUCAUUUUUGCCUCUGAUCAAUGGGUGGGCUUUUCAGUCAUUCCUAAUUAACAACUCAUAAACCUGGCCACAUGGCUUUAAAAAACCCUCUUAACUUAGUCGGCAGUUUCUAGAUCAGAAACAAACCAAGAAAAAGUUGCCACUUCAUAACUCCAUGAAAUCAUGCCAUGUUAUAUCCUACCAAUUUAAGGCUCUGAACUAGCAUGGGUCACAGAGAGGCUAUUAAAAGGAGGGUAGAUUCUUUCCAACUCUAUUCCCCAGAAGAUCUGUGAAUCUAUGAUGAAAAUGACAUUUAAAAAAUGGAAAACAGACAUAGCAUCAGUCUUUGUUUCAAUGCCUGGCCGAGGAGCCAGGAAGCUUGCCACCAAUAUAUCACUCAUUCUA
rnacentral:lncRNA from 1 species